CAAAAAUCUAUAAUCUAACCCUGCUUUGCCCCCAAAAGACAUAAAAACCUUGUAGAAGCAAACAAAUGAAAGAAGUUAUUCUAAAGACCUCAAGUGUGAGAAUAGCACAGUGAUCCUUUUUAUACUCCUUGGACACAUUUCCAAGAGAGUCAUCUUCCUAUUUAACAGCAAUGUAAUAGGAUGUGAAGUGGAAUUGUAUCUGGAACUGGAAAGUGGUGAUGAAAGCCCAAAGCUGAGGACCAAGGAGGCUUCUUAGCCCACAUUCUAAUCAGCCAGCCCUCAAAUUUUCUAACAGUUUGCAAAGUUAGUCUCACUGCCACCAGCCCCACAACAUCAUACAACCUGAGCUGUGAGAAUAAGGGCAAGAGAGCAAAGAAGAAAAAGGAGUCUUAGGCACAGUAAACUUUGUGUUAUGUGUAAUACUUCAGAUGAGAUGCCGUCUCUCUCUGAAAGUCAAGUGUAUUUUUAUCAUCUUUAAUUUUGAGCAAAUUCUCCUAUGUUUUCUUCUAACAGUUUAAACUUUGGUUUCUUACAAUAACGAUCUAACUUUUCUGGAAUGGAUUCUUGUGUGUAGUGUGAGGUAGGGAUCCAAUUCUUUUAUUUUCACUUACAGAUAACCAAUUGUCACUGUGAAAUAUAUUGAAUGGCUUAUCCUUACUGCAUCAUCCACAAUACCAGGUCCUCCGACAAUGCAGUGCUUUCUGUACCAUCUGCUGGCUCUGCAAAGGUAAUUAACAAAUGCAUACUAUUCCCAGAUGAGGCUGGCUUAGAAAGGACAAACCACGCCAGGAAAACGGAGAGGAACAAAGUAAAAUCAUGGCAGACAAACAAGGCUGCUGCAGUCCUGGCUGUCAGUGGAGUGUGUUGUUAGAGCUUCUUGUUGAAUUAUAACAUCUAAAAAUGAAUUCAAACAGAUUCAACCAAGGACAUAGAAUUUCACCCCUGCUGGGAGCCUUAAAGAAAGGGUGAAGAAAAUUGUAGGGUGCUGAGUAUUUUCUGACUCCCAGAUCUUAUAUGCUGUAUUUAUAGUAAUUUUUAAAAAAGGAGAAAUAAAAACUAAUGCCAAUGAAAGCUCA
rnacentral:lncRNA from 13 species